AUGUGUUCUCUUUCCUGGUCCAUGACGGGGCGUAACUUUAAGGGCAAGAAUUUCCCAGCACCAUGCCCCCCUCCCAUCUCUCUCCAUGGGGAGAUGCAACGGUUUAUGUUUGAAUUUCGCGGGCGCUGGAAGAAACUAAAAGUCAAUCACUCCAGCGGAAGUUCUAAGGAACUCCUUUCAUUGGCCCAGCGUCUUGGAGAAGGCGGGGGUUUCUCCCAGGAUAAACAUCCGUGCUCUCUCACCUGCGCCAGAUUUCCAACUUUCUGGAAUUCCCUCCCACAGGGAAUCCAAGUGACUGAAGGAAGCACUGGGACAGUGAGUCUCCGGACUGAGGACUCCAGUGUCAUGGCACACCAGGCUGUUCCCCUGAAGAGCUAAGUCCUUGUCACUCCCCGGCUAGCAAGCAUAUAAGAAAUGGAAGCAGGAAAUUCACAGAAGAAAAACUACACAUGGCUAAGGAAUAUGUCAGUAUAAUUUUUUAAAUCACACAGAAAAUAUAGGCAUAACUAGUUGUGCAUGAGUUGCCUUCUCUAGCUUUUUGUAGUCAUUGAUUAAUUCUUCCUUUCAGAUUUCACAAAUCUCAACCUACUUUAUUUUUAUAGAACAAGAUCACUUCUUGAUAGAGGCUUUUGCAAUCUGGUCAUAACCUACAGUAAUGAAUGCAUUCUAUCUCAUGACCCAGCACACAUACACAUAUACAUAAUUGAAAGGUUCAGAAAGCAAUAUUUUCAUCAUCAGGUGCAAUGUCUCCUGUUUCCUAUUUCAUUCUGUUCUCUUGUGUUUUUUUUAAAGGCUGGUUAUGAGACCUGCAAAACUGAUUCCAUGACCCCACCAAUAGUCUUGAGGCCAGUGAUUUGAGACCUUUGAGAGAACAAAGUUGUAAGACUGACACUGCCUAAUUUAAAGACUUUCUACAGCUGGGUGGGAGUCGCAUGCCUGUAAUCCCAGCACUUUAGGAGGCUGAGGCGGGUGGAUCUCCUGAGGUCAGGAGUUCAAGACCAGCCUGUCCAACAUGGUGAAACCCCGUCUCUACUAAAAGUACAAAAAUUAGGCAGGUGUGGUGGUGCAUGACUGUAAUCUCCGCCACUCAGGAGGCUGAGCCAGGAGAAUUGUUUGAACCAGGGAGAUGGAGGUGGCAGUGAGCUGAGAUAGCACCACUGUAUUCCAGCCUGGGCAACAGAGCGAGAUUCUGUCUCAAAUAAAUAAGUAAGUAAAUAAAUAAAACA
rnacentral:lncRNA from 13 species